rnacentral:lncRNA from 1 species
UUUAUUGAUUAAUUUUGAAGACAAACGGAAAGGAAAUAUGGCGACAAAAGAAAGACACAAGGUCGGAGGUCUCAGACCUCGGGGGCAGGGGGUGGAGAACUCGGUGCGGGGGGUGCGACUGCGGUGGCGGCGGACGAAGGGCCGGCCUCGUCUUCAGACUCCUCCAGAAAGCCGAGAUCAAGGUCGGGGUAUCUGCUGGCCACCCUCUCUCGGCAGAGCUCGAACCCCUUGGUGAAUGCCUCCAGGCCGAACUGGACGUUCAGUUCCCUCAUCUCCGCGGAGGCCUUGAACUCCUCCACCGCAAGGGUCUUGGCCUCCGAGACCAGAACCGGAGUUUGCUCG